rnacentral:rRNA from 1 species
CCUGGUUGAUCCUGCCAGUAGCAUAUGCGUGUCUCAAAGAUUAAGCCAUGCAUGUGUAAGUACAAAUGACUGGUACAGUUGCAAAUGGCUCAUUAAAUCAGUUAUGGUUCCUUUGGUCAUUCCAUCUGUUACUUGGAUAACAGUGGUAAUUCUAGAGCUAAUACAUGCCGAUGACCGCGGACCUCCCGGGAUGCGUGCAUUUAUCAGAAAAAGACCAAUCCGGGCUCGCCCGGCCGCUUUGGUGACUCUAGAGAACCUCAGACCGAUCACACAUCCAUGUGACCGAGACGAUGCAUUCAACUUUCGAUGGCACUUUCUGUGCCUACCAUGGUGACCACGGGUAAUGAGGAAUCGGGUUCGAUUCUGGAGAGGGACCCUGACAAACGGCUACCACAUCAAGGAAUUCAGCAGGUGCACAAAUUACCCAAUCCCGACUCCGGGAGGUAGUGACGAAAAACAACAAUACAGGACUCUUUCGAGUCACUGUAAUUGGAAUGAGUACACUUUAAAUCCUUUAACAGGUACCCAUUGGAGGGCAAGUCUGGUGCCAGCAGCCGCAUUAUUUCUAGCUCCAAUAGCAUAUAUUAAAGUUGCUGCAGUUAAAAAGCUCGUAGUUGGAUCUUGGGAUCGAGCUGGCCGGACCGCCGCGAGGCGAGCUACUACUGCCUGUCCCAGCCUCUGCCUCUUGGCACCCCCUUGAUGCUCUUGACUGAGUGUCCUGGGGGUCUGAAGCAUUUAUUUUGAAAAAAGUACAGUGUUUAAAGCAGGCCAGUCGCCUGAAUACUUAAGCUAGGAAUAAUGCAAUAGGACACUGGUUCUAUUUUGUUGUUUUUCGGAACUAGGGCCGAGAUUAAGUGGGACGGCCAGGGCAUUCGUAUUGUUCUACUAGAGGUGACAUUCUUGGACCAGCACAAAGUGAAAGCAUUAGCCAUUAAUGUUUUCAUUAAUCUACUGUCGUAGUUCCAAACAUAAACUAUGCAGAUUAGCGAUCUGGCAGUGUUUAUCCCAUGACCUGCCGAGCAGCUUCUGGGAAACCAAAGUCUUUGGGUUCUGUGGGGGAAGGGAGUAUGGUUGCAAAGCUGAAGCUUAAAGUAAUUGAUGGAAGGGCACCACCAGGAGUGGAGCCUGCGUCUUGAAACCUCACCCGGCCCAGACACGGAAAAGAUUGACAGAUUGAUAGCUCUUUCUCGAUUCUGUGGAUGGUGGUGCAUGGUCGUUCUUAGUUGGUGGAGCGAAUUGUCUAGUUAAAUCGGAUAACGAAUGAGACUCCUCCAUGCUAAAUAAUUAUUUGCCAUGAACGAGGAAUUCCCAUUAAGUGCGGGUCAUAAGCUUGUGUUGAUUAAGUCCCUGCCCUUUGUACACACCGCCCGUCGCUACUACAGAUUGGAUGGUUUAGUGAGGUCCUCUGAUCGGCGAGAAGACGAUCAAUCUUGACUAUCUAGAGGAAGUUGGUUGGGUUAACCUGCUGGGGACGUUCUGCCACCGGAGAGAGGGAGC